GAUAACUAUGUAUUCGUUUUUUGUCAUCCCCCCCCCAAGAUGGCAGUACAAUAGCUGGAAAUAAUGGCAAAUGUUGAGGUGAAAGAGGUGGCAGUAAAAUCGGGGCAAUAUAUAAACCAUAAUCGUUCAUUUUGUAAUGAUGGGUGUGGUCGCUAGGGGAACCAUAUGUAUAGGGUAGUGAGGGAAUGGUCCGUCGCCCAAAAAAUUUAGGUCGUCUUUGGCGACUUCAUUGAAUGUUCCUGUGUCCAGCAAUAACCAAAUUUCCCAUACAGCGAUUAAAGAUCUGUCUUUAGAGACACAAUCGGUGUCCAUCAAGUGUCUGGUGUUUGGCAAAAGUGCCGUAAACCAAACAUCAUCAGUGAAAUACACCAUUUUACUGAGUGAUGGAUCGGGAACAAUAAAGGCUGAAGGCUGGGGUCAACCUGGUUUGGCCUUCUUCGAAUCUGUUAUUGUCGGCUUAUGUUAUAGCUUAUCUAGCUUUGCCAUUAGGGAUCUCAAGGAGAGAUUUUUUAAAUUUUCCUGGUUAAAGAAUCCCCUUUAUAUAUCCGUGGGAUCCUCUUCCAAAGCCAUUCCGGAUGCGGAUAUUGAUAUAGAAGACUUCAACUAGGAUUUCAUUUCACUUAGGGCGUUAAGUAGAAAAGGACAAGGGGAAACGUUCGCCAUUGUAGGGGCCGUCAUCGACGAUUCGGGGGACAUCGUUAUCAAUGUCAACAACAGAAACCUAACAAAGAGGGACAUUACAAUUACCGAUCAGCUUAACGUAAAGGUCAUCGUUACCAUGUGGGCCAGGGCCGCCCAAUUUGUCCAAGCCCUACACGAUAGCAAUCAAGAUUCCCCCGUGGUUGCCUUUUGUGGGGUGCGCCGGAACAUGUUUCCGCAGAAGCAUUCGUUGGUUGUCAUCGAUUGCUUCGAUGACACCUUUAUUGAUUUUUCACCGGUAUGCCGCCAAGCGCAAGAAAUUCAAGAUUACUUGAUCAGGACUAAAAAGGAGCAAGAUACAGUUGCCAUUCCUGAGAAUUCAGAGGAUAAAUCAAGAAAAUGAAAAAAGGAAAAUUGUUAAUGGCACACCAAGAUACAAUUUCAUUUAAUAAAUCGAAGUCCUCAUUCCACAA
rnacentral:lncRNA from 1 species